UUCUCUCGGUACCUUGCUCUGGAUAAUCGACAGGGGUUGAAUUGGAUUGCCUGUGCAUUUGUUAUUUGGUCCAACUCUUGGUAUGUAAAUAUCUGCUAAUUGCUAUGUGCUCAGCCUCUCUCUGUUUAAUUGUGCAAUUUGUAUCCCACUUUUUGAGUUGUUUGUUUGCUGGGUUGAGCCUUGCGGCAAGUAAUUAGCAAUGCAGCACGAUGCCAGCACCUUUGUACGGCAACCGUCCCUUCUGGCUGGGGACGGAAGCGAUUUUACCAUUGAGUAUUUCUAUCAUCCUUCUGUCUGUCUUCUAUUUACUGCUGUCAUCGGGUUUUGCAUUCGUUUUGGUCUCUUCUUCACUUUUGCCCCAAAUACUUAGGGGUUAAUUAUGAUGUUUAACUCUUUCGCCGAUGGGAAGGUAAAAUAUAUGAAAUCAAACUCCAUCGCAGCUUAUAUGUGUCAGCAAUCUAUUUUUGUUUCGUGGUUUCUAUAGCAGUUUUGUCAUGCAGAUAUAUGUCAAAAUUGAGAGAGCACGGUUGAUCAAGAAACUUGAAAAAAUAAAGGAAGGAUCAGGAUCUUAUAGCAGAAGCUACUGAUUUGAUGCAAGAAAUCAGGGUAACUAGAAGUUGACUUCUGUUGUCACUGAUAUUGUAAAUGGUUUUUUCUUGUCCAACAUUCCUAUGAUGGGUUUGGAAUGCAGGUAGAAACUUUUGUAGCAAUGACAAGUCUGGAGAAAGUUGCCUUCUUUUUUUUUUUUUUUUUUUUGAAGAAGUAUGGAUUUUUUAUAUUGCUUUUAGCCAUUUACGCACUAUUACUCUGAUUGGUUUCCUGAUUGAUGGGUUUUGCAGGUUUGUUUGUGCUUAGAUCGCCAGGAUUAUGUAUAUGCACAUAUUCUUUCCAGGAAUAUCAGCCCCCAAGUGUGUGAUGCAAAUCCUUCCAAAGAGAAGAAAAAGCCUAAAGAAGGUGAAAACAUUGUGGAACAAGCUCCAGCUGAUAUUCCGUCACUUCUGGAGUUGAAAUGGAAAUACUAUGACUCAUGACACAGUAAAUUGGCGUUUUGCUUUGUCUAGUGUUUGUCCACUAUCUUUUAACUAAUUUGUUUUUGCCAAUCAAGCGCCACUUCGUGUUCAGGUUGUGGUUCAAACCAUGGACAUGUAUGCUUUAUAUAUCUGGCACAUACUAUUUUUCCUAAGGCAUAUUCUCUUGUGCCUUUCUAGCUUUAGCGCAAAUUCUGACGUUCUAGAUGUACUUGAUAGAUUUGAACUCUCUUAGUUUACUCUGCAUUUAUGUGGUCAGCAAUGUAGGUAAGGUAUUACUCACACAAAAACAAUUACCUUAAGAUAAGUUGAAUAUAUAAGGCGAUAGAUGAGAUUCUAUCAGUGAAGGGAACCCAAAGCAGCAGAUGCUGAUGAAGGGAAACCCAGAGUAGUGAUACUGUUGAAGCUCUUUCAUUGUUAAGUCUUCACUGCAUUUUUCAAGGCACUACUGUUCAUUCUGUGAUUUAAUUUAAUGCAGGUUCUAAGGGAAAUAUGGUGGUGCUUGGUUCUAUCACCACAUGAUCCUAUGUAGUCAAG
rnacentral:lncRNA from 1 species